UACGUAGGGUGCGAGCGUUGUCCGGAAUUAUUGGGCGUAAAGAGCUUGUAGGCGGUCUGUCGCGUCUGCUGUGAAAAUCCGGGGCUCAACCCCGGACUUGCAGUGGGUACGGGCAGACUAGAGUGUGGUAGGGGAGACUGGAAUUCCUGGUGUAGCGGUGAAAUGCGCAGAUAUCAGGAGGAACACCGGUGGCGAAGGCGGUUCUCUGGGAAUAUCCUGACGCUGAGGAGCGAAAGUGUGGGGAGCGAACAGG
rnacentral:rRNA from 1 species